AUGCACAUGAAUGAUUUCGAACUCUCCUUUCAAUGUCUGAAGACAUGCAUCUGCAAAUUUAACAGUAGUGUAUGCCUGCAAUUUACAAUAAAGAUAGUUCAUAUAACUUGUAAUCAAGACCAGAUCCAUUUAUCCAAACCUGCUAUACUAUACUCACCUGGAAAAAAAUCAGGCAGAUCAUAG